rnacentral:rRNA from 1 species
AUUGAACGCUGGCGGUAUGCCUUACACAUGCAAGUCGAACGGUAGAGGAGCAAUCCUCGAGAGUGGCGAACGGGUGAGUAAUACAUCGGAACGUGCCCAGUCGUGGGGGACAACGUAGCGAAAGCUACGCUAAUACCGCAUACGACCCGAGGGUGAAAGCGGGGGACUCGCAAGAGCCUCGCGCGAUUGGAGCGGCCGAUGGCAGAUUAGGUAGUUGGUGGGGUAAAGGCCCACCAAGCCUGCGAUCUGUAGCUGGCCUGAGAGGACGACCAGCCACACUGGGACUGAGACACGGCCCAGACUCCUACGGGAGGCAGCAGUGGGGAAUUUUGGACAAUGGGCGAAAGCCUGAUCCAGCCAUACCGCGUGCGGGAAGAAGGCCU